rnacentral:rRNA from 1 species
GACGAACGCUGGCGGCGUGCCUAAUACAUGCAAGUAGAACGCACAGUUUAUACCGUAGCUUGCUACACCAUAGACUGUGAGUUGCGAACGGGUGAGUAACGCGUAGGUAACCUGCCUGGUAGCGGGGGAUAACUAUUGGAAACGAUAGCUAAUACCGCAUAAUAUUAAUUAUUGCAUGAUAAUUAAUUGAAAGGUGCAAUUGCACCACUACCAGAUGGACCUGCGUUGUAUUAGCUAGUAGGUGAGGUAACGGCUCACCUAGGCGACGAUACAUAGCCGACCUGAGAGGGUGAGCGGCCACACUGGGACUGAGACACGGCCCAGACUCCUACGGGAGGCAGCAGUGGGGAAUCUUCGGCAAUGGACGAAAGUCUGACCGAGCAACGCCGCGUGAGUGAAGAAGGUUUUCGGAUCGUAAAGCUCUGUUGUAAGAGAAGAACGGGUGUGAGAGUGGAAAGUUCACACUGUGACGGUAUCUUACCAGAAAGGGACGGCUAACUACGUG